CGGCGUGCCUAAUACAUGCAAGUCGAACGAGUUCUCGUUGAUGAUCGGUGCUUGCACCGAGAUUCAACAUGGAACGAGUGGCGGACGGGUGAGUAACACGUGGGUAACCUGCCCUUAAGUGGGGGAUAACAUUUGGAAACAGAUGCUAAUACCGCAUAGAUCCAAGAACCGCAUGGUUCUUGGCUGAAAGAUGGCGUAAGCUAUCGCUUUUGGAUGGACCCGCGGCGUAUUAGCUAGUUGGUGAGGUAAUGGCUCACCAAGGCGAUGAUACGUAGCCGAACUGAGAGGUUGAUCGGCCACAUUGGGACUGAGACACGGCCCAAACUCCUACGGGAGGCAGCAGUAGGGAAUCUUCCACAAUGGACGCAAGUCUGAUGGAGCAACGCCGCGUGAGUGAAGAAGGCUUUCGGGUCGUAAAACUCUGUUGUUGGAGAAGAAUGGUCGGCAGAGUAACUGUUGUCGGCGUGACGGUAUCCAACCAGAAAGCCACGGCUAACUACGUGCCAGCAGCCGCGGUAAUACGUAGGUGGCAAGCGUUAUCCGGAUUUAUUGGGCGUAAAGCGAGCGCAGGCGGUUUUUUAAGUCUGAUGUGAAAGCCCUCGGCUUAACCGAGGAAGCGCAUCGGAAACUGGGAAACUUGAGUGCAGAAGAGGACAGUGGAACUCCAUGUGUAGCGGUGAAAUGCGUAGAUAUAUGGAAGAACACCAGUGGCGAAGGCGGCUGUCUGGUCUGUAACUGACGCUGAGGCUCGAAAGCAUGGGUAGCGAACAGGAUUAGAUACCCUGGUAGUCCAUGCCGUAAACGAUGAAUGCUAGGUGUUGGAGGGUUUCCGCCCUUCAGUGCCGCAGCUAACGCAUUAAGCAUUCCGCCUGGGGAGUACGACCGCAAGGUUGAAACUCAAAGGAAUUGACGGGGGCCCGCACAAGCGGUGGAGCAUGUGGUUUAAUUCGAAGCAACGCGAAGAACCUUACCAGGUCUUGACAUCUUUUGAUCACCUGAGAGAUCAGGUUUCCCCUUCGGGGGCAAAAUGACAGGUGGUGCAUGGUUGUCGUCAGCUCGUGUCGUGAGAUGUUGGGUUAAGUCCCGCAACGAGCGCAACCCUUAUGACUAGUUGCCAGCAUUUAGUUGGGCACUCUAGUAAGACUGCCGGUGACAAACCGGAGGAAGGUGGGGAUGACGUCAAAUCAUCAUGCCCCUUAUGACCUGGGCUACACACGUGCUACAAUGGAUGGUACAACGAGUUGCGAGACCGCGAGGUCAAGCUAAUCUCUUAAAGCCAUUCUCAGUUCGGACUGUAGGCUGCAACUCGCCUACACGAAGUCGGAAUCGCUAGUAAUCGCGGAUCAGCACGCCGCGGUGAAUACGUUGCCCGGGCCUUGUACACACCGCCCGUCACAACCAUGAGAGUUUGUAACACCCGAAGCCGGUGGCGUAACCCUUUUAGGGAGCGAGCCGUCUAAGGUGGGACAAAUGAUUAGGGUGAAG
rnacentral:rRNA from 1 species